GCAAAAGUGAGAAUGUGUGUAUGGAGAAAUGGACACUGACAGAUAAAUGCGGAGUGAAGAGAAAGCCCCUAAUGGUUCCAAGGGCUGCCUCUCUGGCCGUACUUGCCUCUAUUCUGUCAUUGUCUUUCCUACCUCAUCUGGUCUCUGGCAGGGACUGAGAAAUCUGGUCUUGCUUAUGAAGGGGUGGGUCUACAGGGCCAAAGCCAAUUGGGCCCGAGAGUCCCUGACUCAGAGCUAGAUUGGGGGAAGAACAUGCUGCAGAGGUCACCCCUGAGGCCUUAGGAGAGGGCUUAUGGGUGUGGCUGGGACCUAGGGACCCUUAGUUUUCAUUAUUCCUUAAGGAGAGGGGCCCAAGAAAACAUGGUCAUGCGUUUUGGUCAGUCUUUGGAGAAGGGAAAGGCUGAGGGGAGAGAAAGGACGGGGGGAAAGCAAGAACGGGUUGAGGCUGGAUGAGAGGGAGCAGCGGCUGGGAGGAGAUCUGAGAGAACAAGCUGAGCAGUAAGGACAAAGCAUGUGGCAGGUCUAGGGCUGUCCUUUUUCUGCUCUUGCAGUGAAUUGAGUCCUGGGCAUGGGGGUUAACUAAAAUCUCUUCAAAUCCUGCCUCCCUUACUACCUGGAACUGACUUUGGUUGAGGCAGCCUCUCUGGGUCUCCAAGUUUCUUUUUAGCUCUUCCUAGACUUAGGAAGACUUGGGGUAAGUUACCUGAUAUCUGCUCACUAAUUAGCUGGCUGUGUGGUCUUGGAUAAGUCACUUCUUUUAAGAUUUCAGUAAAACAGAGAAUUUCCAGCAUUAAUAAUUUAUAAGGCAGAAUUGUUUAUUUAUUGAAUUGGACUCAUUCUUCAGGGACAUAUUAACAUUUCUCAAAAGCAUGCUAUUCCAGACCUCAUCAGGAAAUUCAUUCAUUCAACAGCUCUUCAAGGACCACACACUCUGUGCCAGCCACUGGGGCUAGCUCUAGGUUGGAAUAACGAUACCCUGACCUUCCAAAGAGAAUCCAGUGGAGAUGGGAGGGCAGCCCACCUUGUCACAGCAGGAACAUGCCCCGCUUCCAUGAUCUGGUGUAGGCACCUAUUUCCCCGCAAGCACUUGUCUUGUUCUUCCAAAGACUGGUGAGGAUCCCUGGUUCCACUGGCUGAGAUGGGGGGAGUUCAUCAGCAGAGGUACUGAGAGGGAAACUGGGAAGUGGAAGGGAAGGGACCGAGCUGGCUCCAAGGGCGGGUCUCCAAGCUGAAGACAAAGGCUGCAUUGUCUGUCUGACCCCAAACGGUGUCCAGCCUGGCAGGUGAAGAGCAACACGGCUACAUCCUCUCCAUCUCUUCGUCGCCCCCCACCCUCUCUCGAACCUCAUGGAAUGGGGAUCUAGGGUAAGGAAG